CUGGUGCAGGAGAAGAAAUCCAAGUUUGAAUGAAGAACAGAGAAGCGUUUUCACAUCUCAAUCAACUCUUUUUUUUUCUUUUGGUUUGAAUGCUUGUUCAAGGUACAUAGUUGAAAGGUGUUCGUAACUUUGACAGCAAAUAUUUUAUUUGCCUGCUUAUUUAAUUGUGUUCUGUUUUUUUUUCUCGUAUCUCUUAAUUUUGAGAUGUCUUUUUCUUCUACUGUUUUCUGUUGAAGUUCUUAUGUAGGACAAGUUUUAACCACAAGAAAAGACACUAAGUACAUUCGACCAAGAGUUUUAAAGAACAACAAAAGCCACAAAGGACAUUAAAAAGGAAAAUUUGAGUUUUAAACUACAACAAAAGAACUACUAGUCAUGAGCUUGAAUAGAUUGAGUAGGUUGUGUAAGUCUGAUCUCUUCAUGGACAUGAGAAGAACCUGCCCUGCCACAAAACCAAACAUGAGUACAAAUACAUUAACAACAACAGCCCCUUCAACAUCGUAGUUCCUCACUGUCUCUCUCUCCUCUGGAUUCUCUUCUCUUUCUCUGACAUCUUCUUUGUUUGUGUCAUGAGCACUGCGACAAACCCUAAUUUCAGUAUCCCCAAUUCGUCUCUUCAGUCGGUGUUCUGUGUCGGGCAAAAAAUAAAAAAAAAAACACGAAGCCCCAAUUUGAUUCUGAUUUUAAUUAAAUCUCCAAUUUGUUUUUGUUUUUAAGUUAAGUCUGGGUCGGGUUUUCAAACGCCGGAUCGGGUCUGGUUUUCUUAAAUUGGGCAAUCACUGUUUUCUAAAUGCACUUUUAAUUCUUUUAAUUUUGAUUUCGAAAUUGAUUAGAGAGGGGGGUAAAAAGAGUUUAGGGGGAGAUUUAAAGAGAAAGUCUAUGUUUGGGUGGAUUUAUGAAGAGCUUAAUAGUUUAGGGGGGAAUAAGUAGGGUAAAUGUGUUUGAGGGGGGAAUAGGCAGGUAAC
rnacentral:lncRNA from 1 species